rnacentral:rRNA from 1 species
GAUGAACGCUGGCGGCGUGCCUAAUACAUGCAAGUCGAGCGAACGGACGAGAAGCUUGCUUCUCUGAUGUUAGCGGCGGACGGGUGAGUAACACGUGGAUAACCUACCUAUAAGACUGGGAUAACUUCGGGAAACCGGAGCUAAUACCGGAUGAUAUUUUGAACCGCAUGGUUCAAAAGUGAAAGACGGUCUUGCUGUCACUUAUAGAUGGAUCCGCGCUGCAUUAGCUAGUUGGUAAGGUAAUGGCUUACCAAGGCAACGAUGCAUAGCCGACCUGAGAGGGUGAUCGGCCGCACUGGAACUGAGACACGGUCCAGACUCCUACGGGAGGCAGCAGUAGGGAAUCUUCCGCAAUGGGCGAAAGCCUGACGGAGCAACGCCGCGUGAGUGAUGAAGGUCUUCGGAUCGUAAAACUCUGUUAUUAGGGAAGAACAUAUGUGUAAGUAACUGUGCACAUCUUGACGGUACCUAAUCAGAAAGCCACGGCUAACUACGUG